UGUGUAGGCGGUUCUCUAAGUUUGGUGUGAAAUCUCCCGGCUCAACCGGGAGGGUGCGCCGAAAACUGGAGAGCUAGAGUGCGGGAGGGGAGAGUGGAAUUCCUGGUGUAGCGGUGAAAUGCGUAGAUAUCAGGAGGAACACCGGUGGUGUAGACGGCUCUCUGGACCGUAACUGACGCUGAGACACGAAAGCGUGGGUAGCAAACAGGAUUAGAUACCCUGGUAGUCCACGCCCUAAACGAUGCAUAUUUGGUGUAGGUCAUUCAGUUGAUCUGUGCCGGAGCUAACGCGUUAAAUAUGCCGCCUGGGGAGUACAGUCGCAAGGCUGAA
rnacentral:rRNA from 1 species